rnacentral:rRNA from 1 species
AUUGAACGCUGGCGGCAGGCCUAACACAUGCAAGUCGAACGAGUGGCGGACUGGUGAGUAAUGUCUGGGAAUCUGCCUGAUGGUGGGGGAUAACUACUGGAAACGGUAGCUAAUACCGCAUACCAUCGGAUGUGCCCUGAUGGGAUUAGCUAGUGGGUGGGGUAACGGCUCACCUAGGCGACGAUCACUAGCUGGUCUGAGAGGAUGACUGGCGACACUGAAACUGAGACACGGUCCAGACUCGUACGAGAAGCAGCAGGGGAGAAUGUUGCACAAUGGGAGCAAGCCUGAUGCAGCCAUGCAGCGUGUAUGAAGAGGGCAAUCGGGUUGUAAAGUACUUUCAGCGGGGAGGCGUUACCCGCAGAAGAAGCACCGGCUAACUCCGUGCCAGCCACCGCGGUAAUAC